rnacentral:lncRNA from 1 species
GGUAUCCCAUACGAAUUCCCUCCUUGGGUAUCCACUGAUUCUUCCUUUUGCUGCUCUUGGUGACAGGCCUCUGGCACUCCACCCCACAGCUGGAUUGCACCUCCUCUGUGUGCCAUAGAUCUGGAUCUGUGAGAUUCCCCUUGGAGGCUCCAGAGAAAGUGCAGUAUGUAAAGCAAACAUCAGUACCUGAGACUAAGCUCCACUGACGACCCUUCAAGGGAGGGCACCCCCACUCCCUUAUACCACCGGGCCAUAAAUGUCCCACCAGAAGCAGAGCAGCUUUCCUGGCCUGCCGUCCCAGUACAGCAGUGAUGGAUGCUUCCAGCACGGCACUGACAUGGGGGCCUCAGGCUGGGCUGGCCAGGAUUCUGAGAGCUAUAGAAGAAGCCCAUGGGCAUCUCGACCCUGUUCCGUGUCGGAGCUGGAGAGGAGCUACGCAAACACCUACCCCUUGUCAGGGGUCCCCUUCAGAGGAGAGAACCCUCUGAACGGGACGCCAGGACCCUGGGAGCCCGACCACUCAAACAGCACAUGGAGAGAGUCCAGCAGGGGCUUUUUUAGCCCCAAGCACAUCGAAAGAGCCAGGUCCUUGAGCCCCUUGCGAGGGAUCCACUCCAUAGAUAGUGGGAUAGUUUUAACCAAUGGCAUGGAAUGUGCCUGGAAACAUUCCAGCCCACCACUCAGAAGGAGGCAUUCUUUAUCUCGUCUCCCGGACUGGGACACAGAAGAAUAUGGUCCCAUGCGGCCAUUGGCUCGAAGGGUGUGGAGUGGAUUGGAGCUGGACCUGCGGGCAUCUUUACCAGAGAAUGUGCAGAGGACAGCAGGGCUGAGGCCCUCUCUGCGGGAUGCUCCUGGGGUGCUAGAGGGACAAGCAGAAGAGCUGCAGAAGCUGGAACUCAACAGGGUGAAGUUUGAGCUGUUUUCCAUUAAGCAGAAGCAGAUGGAGAGCUCCGUCACCCAGCUAGAGAAGGAAAAGAGCUGGUUGGACCUGUCCCGCUAUGAAGACCAGAAACAGAGAGGGGACCUGCAAGAGAAGAUCCUUAAUUUGGAGAUGGAGGUGGUGAAGGCCAAAUCCUGCUUGAGCAGAAUGAGCUGCCGCUCAGUCUCCCCAAGUCCCAGCCAGAGGCUGUCUGCGGAGAAGGAGGAGCUGAAUCGAGAAAUGACAGCUCUUCAAGAAACCCUGAGUGAUUACAAGGAGCACAUGAAGGUUCUGGAAGCAGAACGGGAUGAAAUGACCCAGCAGCUGAACUCAGCCAAAGAGGGGCAACAGCUGGCUUUCAGCCAGACCAGUGAGGCCAACCAGAGAGUGACAGACUCGUUCCAGGUGACAACAGCACUGCACAAGGAAAUUGGCAGACUCCAAGCGGCUUACAGCAGCACCAGUCGGGAGAAAGUAGAGCUGCACCUGCAGGUGCAGGAUCUCACCCUGCAGUUGGAACGUGCACAGUGGAGCCGAGAGGGAUUCAACAGCCAAGUGUCAGACCUCCACCUGGAGCUGGUGAAUGCCAAGGCCCAGGCCAACCACCAGGACCAGGAGAAGGUCCUGAUGAAGGAGGAACUGGUGACUCUCAGACAGGUAAAUGAACAGCUCUCCUCUGAACUGGGUCAGAGCCACCAGAGACUGGAGACCUCCACGGGUCAGCUCCACCACCUGGAGGCUGAGAAGAAGAUCCUGACCAAUAGGAUCCAGGCCCUGGAGACUGAGUGCAUGCAGCUGCUGGGUGAACAGGAGGCGCUGAAGUCACAAAUGCAGAGGGAUCCUGGAGGCCAGGGGAUUGAUAUGGCAGCUCUUCAAACAACCUGCGAAGGGCUCAGGGCGUCACAGUCCGUGUUGCAGGCGGAGAAGGAAGCCUUGCAGGCUCUCUGCAUGGAGCUGGAGGCUGCCUUGCAGCAUAAGCAGGAGGAGUUGUGUGGCCAGCUCGCAGAGCAGCAGCAGGUCUCCCAGCACUGGAAGGACAGAUGGAACCAGGCGGCCAUGGCCCUAAAAACCAAAGAGGAGGAACUGGAGCAAGCACACAUGGCGAGUCAGAGCUUGUCUGCCAAGCAUACUGAGCUCCUGGAGGACUGUGAGCUGCUCCAGGUGGAUGUGGAGGAGCUGGCCGAGCUGAGAGGCACUGUGUGCAGCCUGAAGGAAGAAAACAGAGACUUAAUGAGACAGCUGAGGGAGCAGCAACAGGCCACCCAGCUGCUACAGCUACAGCAAGAGCUGGCUACAAACACAUCUGUACUGGGAUCAGGCUCACAGAGGACUUCAGAACAAGAGGCCCUUUACAAAGAGAUCCAGGAAACCCACGACAGGAUAAAGAGGCUGGAGAAUGAAAAAGCUGAGAUGAAGUCCGAGAUCAGGAAACUGAAGCUGGACGGCGCUUCCGUCCUGCGGAUUGAACUGGAUGCCUGUAAGCAGGAGCUGGAGCUGGAAAAGAGCCGCAGUCAGGCUCUGAAUGGCAAAGUGCAGCUGCUGCAGUCCCGGCGCCGGGACAAUGCUACUCCACCACAUGAGCAGAUCAAGUUCCCAGCAGCCUCCAAUACCACAGCAACAUCUGGCUUAGAGAUGGAUUGUCCUGUGUCCUCUCCAAGAAGUUCUCAGAUUUCCAGUCCUCAAGGAGAACCGUUGGCCCUGGAGAGCCCCCGUGGCUUGAUGGCCUCAGGGGGCCUGUCUGAGGUGGAGAGCCUGAAGCAGAAGCUCCAGAGGGAGACUGCAUCCCGGCAGGAAAAGGAGGCACUGAUCUGGACUCUGAGAGAGCAAUUAGAAGAACUGAAACUAAAACAGCCAGGAGACAUCAAGGCCUCCCUGGAGGAAGUAGACACAGAGUUAGUGCUGGUCCGAAAAGAGCUACAGAAGGUUUGGGACAUGCUGAAAACCCGUGAUACGGCACUGGAAGAACAACGGCUGGAGUUAGAAUCGUCCAGGAGCCAGUACACUGAAUGCAGCUCAGAAAAGCUGAGACUGGAACAACUCGUCGCCUGUCUGGAGCACCAGCUGGCGGAGAGAGAACAGGCCUUGAGGCACCUUCAACAAGCAAGUGAGAUGGAAAAAAACAAGCUGGAGAUUCAAGCCUCUUCAUUAGAGCUGAAGCUGGCAGAAGUGGAGGUCCUGAGAGACGACGCCCAGCGACGCAACCAGGCAUCGGGCCCUCUAGAGGUACAGAACUCGGGCCCCAGGCAGGGCCGUGCCAGCCACUCCCAGGGGAAGUGCUCCCGGUGCGAUGCUUUUCUGGCCCAGCUGAACAAGAUGAUUCAAAGCUGUACAGAGAAAGGGGCUGUGCUGCAGGAGGACCAGGCCUUGACCUACCUGUGUGAGCUGCAGGGGCUCCUCAAGGGGCUGAGUCCGUGCGCGGCCAGCCAAGUCACAAGGAGCCCCCAGGAAAAGAGCCAGACCCUGGAACAGCAGCAUCAGUUGGUGACUGAGCAGGUAACAAACCAUGCAUUCAGCUUUGUCUCAGGCUGUCUGCCUCAUCAUAGUUUUUAUGC